rnacentral:lncRNA from 1 species
GAGGACACAAGCUCCUGGGGUGGCCUCAGAGAGCAGAUAGGGCUGGGGUUUCCUCAAGUCUUCAUACUCUCGAAGUUUUGGUGUGGAUAGGCCUUAAGUUUGCUGUUUUUCUCCUCUAAGAUGCACUUUUACUUCAAGGGAGAACUGGGUCGGGACUGUUCUCUGCUGGGGUCUGAAGGGAGUUGGCGGGGUCUCCUUCCUGAGUGUAUAUGACUAAGAGAGGUGGGAGGGCCCACAGCAAGGGACCUGUGGCCAAGAACAUCUUGGGUGGAGAGACUUCUGGGACAUUUUUUCCACUCUGCAUCAGACAGAGUAAAAUUGAUUAGCAUCUAAUUGGUUUCAGCUGUGCUUAGAGUGUCUCAUAGACAACUUCAAUGUACUUGACUAAAUUCAAUUCCUCAUGGUUAACAGAUAGAACAAAAAAAACCAAAACAAAACAAAAACCUAAAACACUCCAAAAGAGAGAAACCAGAGCUUUGGGUCACAUUUCACCCAUUUGGAAUGUGGACUACCUUGAGUAGAGUAUGAAAAUAAGAAACCAAAGAAGGAAAUCUUUGAGUAGUCGGCUGCCUAGAAAUCAAAACAUCUGUCUUGGGUCCCAACUUUCCACGAGCAGCCACAUGAUCCUGGUUAAACCUUUUUAUGUCCCUGUACUGUGCUUCGGUCUCUGGAAAUAUGGAGAAGUUAAGGAGUUUGAUCUCAGUGAUUUCCAAAGUUCCUAUCUUCUCACAUUUCAUAAUUGCUUUCCGUCAGUUGUUCUGAUGAGCCGGAACAACCCCAGAAUAACAUUGCAGUGCAACUGCUUUCAUGAAUUAAGGGCCAGAUGACAAAUGAGGGCUGGGAAAAUCUGUUUUACCCAGUGUUUGGGGGCAUGGACACCUCGGUCCCUGCCCUUCACGUCUCCAUCCAUGAAAGUUCCUGCCUCCAAGUUCCUGACCUGAAUUCCCUGGAGGAUAGACUACAAGUUACAUCUCCAUGGACAAGCUCCACCCCCACAGAAGUACACAAACCCAGAGCAGAAAAGAGGGCGGCUCCUGCAUGUCCGGCACAGAGCGGGCUACUGGACGGAAUGUGGAGAAUUGCAGCUCUCACCAGGGAAACUAUGGACAUCUGUUCUUAGGGUCAAUACAUCCCUGUGGUGUGAUGCCCUAGCCAUUGUAAUGUCACAGCACAAGUGGAAGUAAUUCUUAGCUAGAUGGGAUGUCUAUUAAAGCCGUAUUAUCCAAGCA